CGGCGGCAGGAUGCCUUGGCGGAGAAGCGGACUGGUGGCCCGGCAGCUUCUCUUGGGCAGAGCCAACAGCCGGGCCAAGAGCAGAGAACCAAUCACGCCACUGUGACAUUUGCAGCCUCCAUCUUUUGUAUCAACAAUGCAAAAAAAAGGAACAACACGUGACUACCAAGGGAUUGUAGUAAUAAUUCCUGCCGGGUUCAGGUACGAGGUAUCACUAGGCCUUAAACCACAAGUAUGUCUAUGUAGACAUACUUUGCUCCACUCCUAUUCCCAUAAAUGGUGUGAAUCACUGUCGACGCUGUUGCUUGAACUGCAACAGAAAGUAGC
ensembl:lncRNA